rnacentral:misc_RNA from 1 species
AUAGCUCUGGUGACUUCUAACUCUGGCCACCCAUCAUUACUACUUCCAUGGCCUUUGGUGAAUGCGUGUAAGGGGGUGUUGAGUGGCUGAACAGCAGCGGCGGGGGAAAGAGAAACAAUGUAUUCUCCUCAUUGUUUUCGGUGAACCAAACCUCCCUUUUCGNNGACCACAAGACAGGACUCCUUUCAACGCCACAUUUUAUCCACGACCAACCCCUCACAGUUUCAUGGAGUUUUUCGACAGAUCGGAAAAUUAAGUGGCGGUAAUUUUGGCUUCAGUUGAGCCAGACGACAACAUAUUUGCUCCGGCAACCACUACCACAGCUCUCUUGACAUCGAC